rnacentral:lncRNA from 1 species
CUCAUCAUCAGCAAUCAAAAUGUUGUCAAAAAGAAUGCCAUCUUGCAUUGUCCAGAUCUCAAUCCCAAUAGCUCCAAUUGGAUCAAACUCAGGCUUGUCUAGUUCAAAAUAGUCAGGGUUGGGGAUCUCUUGGGGCUUCCACACUCCUUUGUAGUUGGGGUUGUCAAUCAGAGGUGCAUGCCACUUGCCCUUGUAAGCAGGAUUCUGUUUCAUAGGCUUUGUCCACUCGCCACAUCCAGGUGCCUCUUCGCACUUGGGGUUGUCAAUCUUUGGUGCCUCCCAUUCACCAUCUUCCUCAUCAUCCCAAUCUUCAGGCUUGGCAGCUUCAGGGUCAUCAAUUUCUUCAGGCUCAUCGUCCAACCAUCCUUCCGGCUUGGUGGCCUCCUCAUCAACGAUUUCCAUUGGGGCAUCCUCAUCCCAGUCCUCGGGCUUCACAGCAUCUGGAUCAGGGAUUUUAGCUCUCUCGUCCCAGUCCUCUGGCUUCUUGUCAUCAGGGUCAGGAAUGGUCUUGGGUGGGAUAAGGGCAGGCUCAAAAUCAUCAGCAGACAGGAAGUUUGCCUUCUUUUUCUCCUCCCCGUCAAUCAAAAUUCUCACCUCAUUAUCCGGCUUCAAGAUAGCCGUGUAGACAUGGGAGAGCUUGUCAUAUGGUACAGAUGGUGGGAACUUGAGAUGAUGUUCAACAUACUUGCCAGUCUUGGGAUUCUUGUGCUUCAGAAUGAAGUGCACCUUGUUGGUUGAACCACAUUUGUCAGGACCAAACAUAAUUGAGUAAGGAGUCUCAUUAUCAAACUCCUUGGCAUCCCACGUGGAAUCCUGAAGGCGAAUGUACUUAAGAUAGGAACCUCCACACUCAAGGCCAUUCUGAAGCCUCACUUCAAACUGCAGGACAACUGUCUCAUCCUUCAAAGUGACUGGGAAAUCCAGCUCCUUAAUUAUGGCAUAUUUCUUGGCCUUCUCACUAACAAGGAGACCGUAGUCCUCAUGUCCAUCACUCUUGGCAUGCUUCCAUACACCUGCAUACCAGAUGCAUCAUCAUUAAGACAAGUGCGCUAUAGAGAUGCAAUGGAAAGAACAGUUAAUAUCCACGGCAAACAGAACUGUUGAGAUGAACAACAGACAAGUGAAAUCCAACUCUAACUGAGCUUUUAUCAUUCAGAUGGAUCAUGGCUGAGCGGCCAUCAGCGCUUAAUCGUACAUACCACAAUUUUCUUUAGUAAUAGCAAAUCAAUGCACAAUCAUAGGUAUAUAAGAGGAUUGUAUAAAAUGUCAAUCCAUACAGCGGGCAAAUGUUGCUUUCUAUAAUUGAAAUAAGCACAGCAGCAAUCUGCACUACAAAUACCGCAUCAAACACCAGACAAAAUUACUGAUAGUCACUUCAAUGAUCUUAACCUCAAAAAAACACAGUCUCUUCUCUGGCUGACGCUCUGAAUUAAUAAGACGAACCUGGUAACGCCCCUGUAAUAUGCAUAGCAGAUCUGCAAUCUAUUAUCCUAACUGUAAGACGCCGGUGAUCAUUGUUCCUACUGUUUACAGAUCAAUGACUACUAUUGGUGAUGACUUGACAAGACUACGGGAUGAAUGAGCAGAGGCAGUGUUGCUGCUCCGUUUUGCGGUGUGCAAUGUUACCAUACAUGAUUCAUGGGACAUCUAUUCAGCGAAUAAUACGAAUUUGCAGAGCUGCGUGGCGAAGCCCCUAGCCGCACUAUGAUUCGCAGGAAGGCGCAUCAACUAGAAGCUCGCAAAGCUAGAAACGGAUCGGCAACAAAGGCCAUAACACCCACUAGAGAUAGUCAGCCACAGAUCUCGCAGUAAACAUUGAACCAGGCAAAACUAGCGGACUAGGGUUGAGAGUGAGAGAGGUACCCUUGUACUCGUCCUUGCCGGAGACGACCCAUCUCCCCUCGAAGCUCUCGUCGAACGGCUCGUAGAGCAACUGCACCACACAAAACCACCAUAAAUCUCACCUAAACAAAAAACCCGAAGAAAAAACCGCGAGAUAUCGCGCAGGAACGCGGAGAUUUACCGGCUCAGAGGCGCGGAUCUGGACGAGCACCGCCGAGACAACCAGUAGCAGCAGCGCGCGCCAUGCCGUCGUCAUCCUGGAUCUCCCCGCUCGAUCCGGUGGUUCCCCAGAGAAGAAGACCAGCAGCGUCCGUGCUUUGGGGGCUAUCGGGGCAGCACUAGUAGUAGCGCAAGGAGUCGGCCAAGCGGACUGGAUGGACGGCUGCGAUGCUCCGAGAGGGGUCACAGUGGACGGUGGAUAUGGGCAGAGGAAAUCCCGGCCAAUGAAAUGGUGCGGGACGUGGUGGCAGCCAAUGGGCGGAUGCCACGUGGGCGUCGUGACGCCUAGGCGCGCUGGCGUGCCACGUCGGAUGCGUGGCCUGGAAUUAUUUCGAUUAUCGACGUGGGGUGCCUCUUGUCAGUGGGAUUAGAGCACUGACACGUCCGGGUAUUCUAUCAUUUCUCUUUAUUUUCUUUUAAGUUGCCUAUUUUUUUAAACAGAAAAUGCAACCAUCCAAGUUUGUGUAUCCAUAAAAAUCUAAAUAUGUGAUGUUCUAAGGCCUGCAACUUUGAUGAUACUGCGGUAUUGCAAUUUGAUUUCAGGAUUAUACGCUGAGAUAUUUGGAGGUAAGAGAUGUUUAUUAAAGAUCUAAAAUAAUGUGACUUCAAGUAAAACAUCGUAAUUUUAUGAAGAUAGAACCAUUUUUCAAUUCUAAGUUAAAAUUGUCUAGUAUCAGUACAUUAGCUAUCUUUUACUACUAUCUCUAUCUCUAACCCAUAAUAUUUGUCGUUGAUUUAACUUUGUACUAAAUCUGCAACAAGUAAUAUGAAUCGUAGGGAGUACGUAUUGUAGGUGAUACUGCUGACCGUGUUAGAAAUAAAAAAAUACCGAGUACUAGUUGUUGAUUGAAUUCAAACGCUUAGAAGUGUGGAUAAGAUCUAAUUUGAUAUAAAUUCCUUUUUUUUGCUAGUUGGCAGAGAGCGGCGCGCUUGGUAUGAAGCUGUCGAUUCUGACCAAGCCAACUUAAUAUCUCGGACAUUCACCCUAGCUUUCAUUAAAAAUUAACUUCCUUAAAAUGCUAGUCAAAAUCCAUAGUUCUGAGGAAGGUGAGCCUUAAGUUUUUUUCUUUGGAAACUUCCAAAGUUCGAGACAACAAAGUGAAUAAGAGUGAAGUUUCAAAAUUGUGAAUGAGAUUUCAACAAUAUUGACAAAGUUUCAAUAUUUUCAAGGACAAACUUACUUUAUUUUUUUAAAAUCUUUCAAAAUUCUAGGAUGAACUUUCAAUUUGUUUUGGAUAGACUUUCAAAUUUCUGGAUGAAAGCUCCAAUUUGUUUGGACAAACUUUCAAGAGCCCAUGAGAAAACUCGCCAAAAGCCUACUUCAUUGGGAUGACAUCAUGACAACCAUCUUUCUCAAGCCGCCUCAAGCUUGGCCAGCUUAUGUUAUGACUUUUACCAAUUGGGUUAUGAGAAGAUUUCUAUCUAAUUUCUGGUGGGGAGCUGAGAAUGGUCGUCGGAAAACAGCAUGGGGAAACACGAAACUACAGCUAGCAAAGGUAAACUUGUUCUUAGUAGAAUUAGAAGUUCACGGACAAAGACUGAAACUGGCCGGUCAAUAUGAAGGAACAGAAAUGUAGUGGCAGUAAAAUUAAUCUUUCUUGAAGGCAAAAGGUAUUAUCAGAAAAUCUUACAAAUCCUUAGAGAGACUUGCCUCUUGGUCUAACUGGGCCAAGCUCCUCAUCAGCAGCCUCAGAGAACAGCCGCACAGCACUGAAAGUCAUAAACUGAACAUCGAGGCUAACAUCUACAGCUCGUAGAGCUCUAACCAUUUAAACUGUGGGUAACAAAUUAUAAGCAGGGAAGUAGCAGAGGUGUCUAUGAUCUCCUAUUAUACACUCAAAAACAUCAAGAGCCAUGUUCUCAAAAAAGCAGGUGCCAGAGAUGGCUGAGAUAAGGAGUCAAAACAAGACUGAAAACUACGUCUCCCUUCUGGACCUCCUGCGUGGCGCUGCAGGAUCCUCCUUCUCCUCCUUGUCAGCACCACUGCUUCCAGCUGCGUCUGCCGCUGCAGCCUGGGGCUUCUUGGAGACAGCAGCAGGCUUCACAGGGACCUGACAGAGUCGUCAAACAAUACAAUCAAUCAAUCAUUUGGUCCAGGUCUCAAGUGAGGAGAACACUAGAAUGUAUGUUGACAUAAAGACUAACCGGUGGCUUCUUGCCGCCGAACAGGAUCUUGAAAAGAACGGUCACAAUGACGACAACAAUGGAUACCAAAAUUCCAAUUGUGACGUUGGGCUGCGUCUCCCCCUUCUCGAUUACAUCCUGUGAAAGAAACAGAGUUCAAUGUAUGGACAAAACACUUAAAUAGUUCAUUGAUUGAAUAAGAAUAAACAGGUCCGUGAUUCUUACAAUGAUCUUGGACUUGUAAGGUUCCAAGAAUGGAAUGUCAGCAAUCUUGUACAGAACAUCAAAAAUCUUCUUCUGCAAUGUCAGCAUGGCAAAUCAGUUACUGAACAUGAGGCAAUGCUCCACAAAAGAAAUUAAUUAACAAACAAUUACUGUAAGAGAUCGGAGGAGUGUUUCACCUGUAACUCAGAAAGACUAUUAGGACCUGCAGCAGCUUCCUCAGCUUUCUCCUUUUCUUUCUCAACUUCAUAUUUGGGCUUCCAUGUCUUCUCUAGUAUAGAGUUGGCAACCUUCUCACUGUCAGCAAUCAAAAUGUUGUCAAACAGAAUGCCAUCUUGCAUUGUCCAGAUCUCAAUCCCAAUAGCACCAAUUGGAUCAAAAUCUGGCUUGUCUAGUUCAAAGAACUCAGGGUUGGGGAUUUCUUGGGGCUUCCAGACUCCUUUGUAGCUGGGAUUGUCAAUCAGAGGUGCUUGCCACUUGCCCUUGUAAGCAGGAUUCUGUUUCAUAGGCUUCUUCCACUCCCCACAUCCAGGUGCCUCUUCACACUUUGGGUUGUCCAUCCUUGGUGCCUCCCAUUCUCCAUCUUCCUCAUCAUCCCAAUCUUCAGGCUUGGCAGCUUCAG